GACGAACGCUGGCGGCGUGCCUAAUACAUGCAAGUCGAACGCUUCUUUCCUCCCGAGCGCUUGCACUCAAUUGGAAAGAGGAGUGGCGGACGGGUGAGUAACACGUGGGUAACCUACCCAUCAGAGGGGGAUAACACUUGGAAACAGGUGCUAAUACCGCAUAACAGUUUAUGCCGCAUGGCAUAAGAGUGAAAGGCGCUUUCGGGUGUCGUUGAUGGAUGGACCCGCGGUGCAUUAGCUAGUUGGUGAGGUAACGGCUCACCAAGGCCACGAUGCAUAGCCGACCUGAGAGGGUGAUCGGCCACACUGGGACUGAGACACGGCCCAGACUCCUACGGGAGGCAGCAGUAGGGAAUCUUCGGCAAUGGACGAAAGUCUGACCGAGCAACGCCGCGUGAGUGAAGAAGGUUUUCGGAUCGUAAAACUCUGUUGUUAGAGAAGAACAAGGACGUUAGUAACUGAACGUCCCCUGACGGUAUCUAACCAGAAAGCCACGGCUAACUACGUG
rnacentral:rRNA from 1 species